rnacentral:rRNA from 1 species
CCUACGGGAGGCAGCAGUGGGGAAUAUUGCACAAUGGGGGAAACCCUGAUGCAGCGACGCCGCGUGAGUGAAGAAGUAAUUCGUUAUGUAAAGCUCUAUCAGCAGGGAAGAAAAUGACGGUACCUGAGUAAGAAGCCCCGGCCAACUACGUGCCAGCAGCCGCGGUAAUACGGAGGGGGCAAGCGUUAUCCGGAUUUACUGGGUGUAAAGGGAGCGUAGACGGCAGUGCAAGUCUGGAGUGAAAGGCGGGGGGUCAACCCCCGGACUGCUCUUGAAACUGGACGGCUGGAGUGCAGGAGAGGUAAGUGGAAUUCCUAGUGUAGCGGUGAAAUGCGUAGAUAUUAGGAGGAACACCAGUGGCGAAGGCGGCUUACUGGACUGUAACUGACGUUGAGGCUCGAAAGCGUGGGGAGCAAACAGGAUUAGAUACCCUAGUAGUC